UUGGAGGGCAAGUCUGGUGCCAGCAGCCGCGGUAAUUCCAGCUCCAAUAGCGUAUAUUAAAGUUGUUGCAGUUAAAAAGCUCGUAGUUGAAUUUCGGGAUUGACGCAUCGGUCGUGCCUCACGGGGUAUGAACUGGUGCAGUCAAUUUCUCACCUUCUGGAGAACCGCGAUGUCCUUAAUUGGAUGCCGCGGGGAACCAGGACCUUUACUUUGAAAAAACUAGAGUGUUUAAAGCAGGCAUUUUUGCUUGAAUACAUUAGCAUGGAAUAAUAAAAUAGGACGGCAUGGUUCUAUUUUGUUGGUUUCUAGGACCACCGUAAUGAUUAAUAGGGAUAGUUGGGGGCAUUAGUAUUCAAUUGUCAGAGGUGAAAUUCUUGGAUUUAUUGAAGACUAACUACUGAGAAAGCAUUUGCCAAGGAUGUUUUCAUUAAUCAAGAACGAAAGUUAGGGGAGCGAAGACGAUCAGAUACCGUCGUAGUCUUAACCAUAAACUAUGCCGACUAGGAAUCAGACGAUGUUAAUUUUUUAAUGACUCGUUUGGCACCUUACGGGAAACCAAAGUGUUUGGGUUC
rnacentral:rRNA from 1 species